rnacentral:rRNA from 1 species
UAUGAUUGGGGUGAAGUCGUAACAAGGUUUCCGUAGGUGAACCUGCAGAAGGAUCA